UGAAAGAUGAAAGCCAUAACAGAAAGCACAAUAGUUGUUAUACAAAACACAAACAUUAGGCAUAACAUAAUUCUAGAACUUAACAAGUGUUACCAUUGAAGGUACUUAUUUCAACUAGACAUAAUUCAGCAAAUUUUCACCACACAAUCACUGAAUUUAUUCAUUUAGAACAUUGCUGUUGUUACUGUAAAACAACACAUUCUUGCGAACCAGCCACCACGGUAGGGUAUGUGCUUGUGUCGUCGACUGCGUCGUCCUUAGGAAGACACUGAAGAUUGUUUUCAUCGGAUUCUUCAGUUAAGGCAAUGGCUUCAAAGAUAAGAGCGUUGACUUCUUGAAACCUCUCUUCGGAGAGUGAAACUUCAGCAAGAAGCCUCCAAGCAUUGGCUUCAGACGCCUCGUCGAAGUCCUUUUUCCUCUUCAAAACCAUGUGUCCACUAAUCUCCCACACCGCGGGAUUCACUUGUGUGUCGAGAAGCUCAGCAUUCACUUCUCCGAGAGCUUGUUUCUCUGCAUAACACUGUUUCACAACUAUUUGUUAGAAAUAGUGUUUAUACAUAAGCACUUAUAUGAUAAGUGCUUCCAUAGGAACUUUGUUUGAGAACUUCUUUACCUGUGGUAACAGAAACACUUGCGUUCCGCAGUCAGAAAUAAGAACAUUGUAAGGUAUGUUGUUGUUUUGUAGGGAGAUACAAGCAUCUGAAACAACUUCUGAUAAAUCUUCAAGUGUGUCGCCGCCCUCGAAGACAAGACCUCGAACCGGAUAUUUCAACAAUACAGACAUCUUCACUCCGCCUUUCAAAGUUGCAAUUUUCUUAGUGGGAGCUUUCUCGAUAGGAAAGGGCAUAGCCAAAUAAUAAGCCUAAAUAUGUCAAACAAAAACACCAAAUCUCAAUUGGAUUAACGACACCGAACAAUGACACGCGACAAAAUUAUCAACAAAGACCAUUAAGCUAGUAGUAAUUUCGGGAUAUUCAAGACAGAAACGCAAUAGGAUAAGCUUUAGUGUCGAGUACCUGGAAGUGAAGAUGGUUAAUAGUUGCAAAAGCCCCGAGGCUGUUGUAACCCAAUCGGAAAUAUGGAUUAGCGGCUUCAGCUGCCAUGUGAAGUGCAAGCAAUAAGCUCUCGUUAUCAAUCCUUUGAGGCAAACACUCGAAAAUGCGAGGAAUCAGCAAAACAUGCCCAUACUCAAUAGGACUAACCUGUUAUCAAGAAAACAAACAAACAUGGUAUAAAACAUAUAUUCUAGCUUAAUGAACCAAUAACAAGGAUAGAAUCUGAACAAGAGCUAAGAAUCUUACGUUGAUGGCAACGAAACUUGGAGAAUUGUCAACAUCAAUCGGAGCAUUUGGAUGGAACUGGACUUCACCGUCUUCACUAGCCUCAAAUUGAAACAGAACCUCCUCUUGUCCAACUUUAGUGAAGUUGAAUUUGUUUCCGUCAAAAGGCUGAAGAACCUUAUCGACUCUGAACUCGGUUGGUCUCUUCUUGAGGUGACGACCCUCGUUGAGCUGAGCAAUGAAACCACACUCACCCGGAAUCACCUAUACCAAAAUUACCACAAAAACACAUCAAAACUAAUCUCAAAACCAAAUCUUUUCAUCCCCAAAAAGCACAACACAAAGAACAAAAAAUCAAAGUAUAUUCAUGCAUCUCCAAUAAGCACAACACAAAGAACAAAGAAUCGAAGUAUUUUCAUGCAUCUCCAAAAAGAACAAAACAAUACACACAAACUCACAAAAACAAUGAAAGAAUCAAAGUAUCAAACCUUGGUUUCACAGGCGGUAACAUCAUAACGAAAAAGUCCUCUUUGCACGCGAUCUUCCCACUGAUUGUAAAAGUGUAAAAGACCAUUAAAACCAAAAUUCAAAACAUCAGAAUCAUGCAUUCACCAUAAUCAAAACUCAAUAAUCACCUCUCCAAGAACAAGUGAGUCCAAAAAGGCCAAAGGAAGCUCCUCUUGGCACUUCUCAGCCACCAAAUCCUUUCCACCAACUUUGUUAAUCUUCUUAAAAGCAUACAGAGGAAGCUUCGCAUCUACCAAAAAAAAACAAAACCACAAACAAAUAAACUAAACAAUAAUACAUGCUGGUGAUAACAAAACAAAAAAAAAAACAAAAAAAACAAAUACCUUGAAUACAACAAGCUUUGAGGCAAUUCCGACCACAACCUCCGACAGUACGAGGAGCCUCAGAACCUUCCUCUUUUUGAUAAUUCGAAACAACCGUAGGAACCCUUUUGAUUUUCAGCAUCAUUUUCACAAACAAACACAAAAAAAAAACUUUUUUUGUCUUUUAAGAUUCAACAACACCAACAGCAACAACAGUAACAACAGAAACAAGAAGAAAAAGAAGCACCUUCAAGGAAAUCUAACUUACAAAGAGAAAGUUAAACUAGAGAGAGAGAGAGAAACUAGAAGAAAGAGAGAGAAGAGGAAGAAGCAAAGAAACCACCACCAGCAAGGA
rnacentral:lncRNA from 1 species